UACGGAGGGUGCAAGCGUUAUCCGGAUUUACUGGGUUUAAAGGGUGCGUAGGCGGGCCUUUAAGUCAGUGGUGAAAUCUCCCCGCUCAACGGGGAAACUGCCAUUGAUACUAUUGGUCUUGAAUUUAGUUGAGGUGGGCGGAAUGUGUCGUGUAGCGGUGAAAUGCUUAGAUAUGACACAGAACACCGAUUGCGAAGGCAGCAUACUAAGGAGUAACUGACGCUGAGGCACGAAAGUGUGGGGAUCAAACAGG
rnacentral:rRNA from 1 species